GUAUUAAUUGCGUGUGAUCGCAAAAGAAAAACAUUCUACACUGUAUCGAGUUUAUGUGAAAACGCGAGCCCCCCGCAAAGGGGACCCACGCGGUGAUGCACAAAGGGGUGAGAUGGAUGUUUGAGAGCGCUCGGGCGUGCACGACCUUUUUUAAAGGGUCAGCGACAGCCCUCGCACCCCCGAUGUACGAUAAUGAUCCUUCCGCAGGUUCACCUACGGAAA
rnacentral:misc_RNA from 1 species